rnacentral:rRNA from 1 species
AGUGAACGCUGGCGGUAGGCCUAACACAUGCAAGUCGAACGGCAGCACAGUAAGAGCUUGCUCUUACGGGUGGCGAGUGGCGGACGGGUGAGGAAUACAUCGGAAUCUACUUUUUCGUGGGGGAUAACGUAGGGAAACUUACGCUAAUACCGCAUACGACCUACGGGUGAAAGCAGGGGAUCUUCGGACCUUGCGCGAUUGAAUGAGCCGAUGUCGGAUUAGCUAGUUGGCGGGGUAAAGGCCCACCAAGGCGACGAUCCGUAGCUGGUCUGAGAGGAUGAUCAGCCACACUGGAAAUGAGAAACGGUCCAGACUCCUACGGGAGGCAGCAGUGGGGAAUAUUGGACAAUGGGCGCAAGCCUGAUCCAGCCAUACCGCGUGGGUGAAGAAGGCCUUCGGGUUGUAAAGCCCUUUUGUUGGGAAAGAAAAGCAGCAGGUUAAUACCCCGCUGUUCUGACGGUACCAAAAGAAUAAGCACCGGCUAACUUCGUG